GGCGGCGGCGGACCGCGCGAGGAGAGCCCCUUUCUGGCCGGGUAACUUACCAGAUUAAGUAUGGUUGAUGAUGGUUCUGAACAAAUACUGCUCUUUUAUUUGAGGUAUGCCAUUUGAAGACUGAGGCCAUGGAGUUUUAUCCUUGAGGAUAAAGGAAAUAAUUUGCAGAAGUCUAUUUUAUAUAGCAAAAAUGUGAAUCCUGAAACUGAAUUCUCUAAAGGGCCUGUACAACAUAAUAGAUGUUGGUGGAAUCAUUUACAUCCAGUCAGCUUGAAGAGUCUCAAAUGGACCCUACCACUGAGAAAACAAGAUGGCAGUCCACUGUGGGGAAUUGAGGAAAAUGGAUUAAUACAAGAGUGCUGUGAUAAUAUACAACCAAGACAGGGUUCUUUUAACAUGGAUUUCAUGAAAUGAAUGAAGACAUAGGUUUCUUACCCAGCACAAAUGGACAGUGGAUUUGACUUUCUAAAGACUUUUUGUAAAAUUAAAACAAGUACAUUUUUGACAUUUGGAGAAGAAAGACGGCACAUAAACACAGAUGAUAGUUUGUAUGCCUGGAACUUUUUGCAGUUGGAUUUGUUAUGAGUAUGACCUUGUGAAAUGUUAACUUUAAUAAAAUUUCUAACACUUUAAAAUUUC